UAGCCGUAAACGAUACUCGCUAGGUGUCGGCCACGGUGCGACCGUUGUCGGUGCCGUAGGGAAGCCGUGAAGCGAGCCACCUGGGAAGUACGGCCGCAAGGCUGAAACUUAAAGGAAUUGGCGGGGGAGCACCACAACGGGUGGAGCUUGCGGUUUAAUUGGAUUCAACGCCGGAAAUCUUACCGGGACCGACAGCAACAUGAAGGCCAGGCUGAAGACUUUGCCGGAUUAGCUGAGAGGAGGUGCAUGGCGUAGACGUGU
rnacentral:rRNA from 1 species